rnacentral:rRNA from 1 species
UAAGACAGAGGUGCCAAGCGUUAGGCGGAAUCACUGGGCUUAAAGCGUGUGUAGGCGGACUUUUAAGUGCCUUGUGAAAUCCCACGGCUCAACCGUGGAAUGGCUGGGCAUACUGGGAGUCUUGAGCCACCUAGGGGUCGCUGGAACAAACGGUGGAGCGGUGAAAUGCGUAGAUAUCGUUUGGAACGCCAAAGGUGAAAACAGGCGACUGGGGGUGUGCUGACGCUGAGACACGAAAGCCAGGGGAGCAAACGGGAUUAGAUACCCCGGUAGUCCUGGCCCUAAACGAUGUCCACUAGAUCGUAGUGCCUCUGACGGUAUUGCGGUCGAAGCAAAAGUGCUAAGUGGACCGCCUGGGAAGUACGGUCGCAAGGCUA